GUCCCGGUUUAAGCGUGUAGGUGUGUGUUCCAGGUAAAUCCGGUUCACUUUAACACUGAGGCGUGAUGACGAGGCACCACGGUGCUGAAGUGACAAAUGCCCUGCUUCCAGGAAAAGCCUCUAAGCAUCAGGUAACACGAAAUCGUACCCCAAACCGACACAGGUGGUCAGGUAGAGAAUACCAAGGCGCUUGAGAGAACUCGGGUGAAGGAACUAGGCAAAAUGGUGCCGUAACUUCGGGAGAAGGCACGCUGGUGCGUAGGUGAAGCGACUUGCUCGCGGAGCUGAAACCAGUCGAAGAUACCAGCUGGCUGCAACUGUUUAUUAAAAACACAGCACUGUGCAAACACGAAAGU
rnacentral:rRNA from 1 species